ensembl:snRNA U6 U6 spliceosomal RNA
GUGCUUGCUUUGACAGCAUAUAUACUAAAGCUGGAACGAGGCAGAGAAGAUUAGCAUGGCCUCUGCACAAGGAUGACCCAAAGCUUUUCCCACUGAAUUU